rnacentral:rRNA from 1 species
ACUCCUGCGGGAGGCAGCAGUGGGGAAUAUUGCACAAUGGGCGCAAGCCUGAUGCAGCCAUGCCGCGUGUGUGAAGAAGGCCUUCGGGUUGUAAAGCACUUUCAGCGGGGAGGAAGGCGAUACGGUUAAUAACCGUGUUGAUUGACGUUACCCGCAGAAGAAGCACCGGCUAACUCCGUGCCAGCAGCCGCGGUAAUACGGAGGGUGCAAGCGUUAAUCGGAAUUACUGGGCGUAAAGCGCACGCAGGCGGUCUGUCAAGUCGGAUGUGAAAUCCCCGGGCUCAACCUGGGAACUGCAUUCGAAACUGGCAGGCUUGAGUCUUGUAGAGGGGGGUAGAAUUCCAGGUGUAGCGGUGAAAUGCGUAGAGAUCUGGAGGAAUACCGGUGGCGAAGGCGGCCCCCUGGACAAAGACUGACGCUCAGGUGCGAAAGCGUGGGGAGCAAACAGGAUUAGAUACCCCAGUAGUCCC